rnacentral:rRNA from 1 species
GACGAACGCUGGCGGCGUGCUUAACACAUGCAAGUCGAACGGAAAGGCCCUGCUUUUGUGGGGUGCUCGAGCGGCGAACGGGUGAGUAACACGUGAGUAACCUGCCCUUGACUUUGGGAUAACUUCAGGAAACUGGGGCUAAUACCGGAUAGGAGCUCCUGCUGCAUGGUGGGGGUUGGAAAGUUUCGGCGGUUGGGGAUGGACUCGCGGCUUAUCAGCUUGUUGGUGGGGUAGUGGCUUACCAAGGCUUUGACGGGUAGCCGGCCUGAGAGGGUGACCGGCCACAUUGGGACUGAGAUACGGCCCAGACCCCUACGGGAGGCAGCAGUGGGGAAUAUUGCACAAUGGGCGGAAGCCUGAUGCAGCAACGCCGCGUGCGGGAUGACGGCCUUCGGGUUGUAAACCGCUUUCGCCUGUGACGAAGCGUGAGUGACGGUAAUGGGUAAAGAAGCACCGGCUAACUACGUG